AUUACUUUAACAAAAAAAGUGUAUUAAAUUUAGAAUUUAAAAAUGUAAUAUUAAAUUACAAGUAAUA
rnacentral:tRNA from 1 species